rnacentral:rRNA from 1 species
CCCUGCCAUUUGUACACACCGCCCGUCGCACCUACCGAUUGAAUGGUCCGGUGAAACCUCCGGAUUGCCUGGCCAGCGCGAGAAGUUGGUUAAACCUUACCAUUUAGAGGAAGGUGAAGUCGUAACAA